rnacentral:misc_RNA from 1 species
GAACUUUGUUUUAGGUGAUUAGUCUCGAUCAGAUCAACCAAAUGUUGUUUGAUGAUCCCAGCCAAGACAGGUUUACAGGUAAGCUGGCUUUGAGAGCAGCAAAUGUUUAACUAACAUUUCGCCCAUAUUUGAGCAUAUAAAAUCUGAAACCUCAUUGCAAUGUCCGUACAGCAAGGAACCACCCACCCAUCUGAAAAUGAAAAACAAAGAAAAUCAUCUCAAUGAGAUGCAUGUCGGGUGUGUUGUUUUCUCAUCUUCUGUACAUAUUCUUUUCAAUAAAAUUCUCAUUUUGACGCAUAUAAUUACUUUUCUUUUAGAUAUAAUCAGCAAAUGCUUGCUUGAAAAUUUGGUAAAUAAUGCAGAGUUCUGUUAUUGGGGAUGCUGUUUUCUCUGUAAUGUGACAGUCCCAAGGAUAAAACCCCAAUACACACACCAUUUUACUGAACUCAAGCCCCAGUCCACUUGCUUCAUAUGACUGAACUUCAUCCAUUUACAAGAGAGAAUACAUGCGGGCAAAACUUGUGUAGCCAAAAGAAAUUAAAUAAAAUGAAGGGGAAAACAAGAAAGGAACAUGGU